UCAAAAACCCGACAGUACCGAGCAGGAGCGCUGGAUUUAAGACCAGCACACGGAAAGCUGACAUUAAAAAUCACAGGCUUAUGAUCAGAGAAUACGUUAUCACCGAUCUCAAUAUUCGACACAGACAAUCCAUAAGACAGAACCAGGUCUAACGUGUGUCCGUGUUCAUGUGUGGGACCCGACACACACUGAACCACAUUAAAAGAGGCAAUAAGACUUAGAAAGUCCUUCACCAGCCGCUUAUCGGGACAGCACACACGAAUAUUAAAAUGCACAAUAUUUCUCCUGUCUGGAUUAAAUUUCAGAAAUACAGUUUAGAUUUACUAAAUAUUCCAGGAAUUCUUGCUCUCAGUUUGACCAUAGAAAUGAACUUGUUGUUGAGGCAGUUUGUGUUUGAGUUUUUCUGCCUCGAGCUUCAUCACCAGUGAUGUUCAGGACUCAUUCUUGUAUUUUACACUCUCUGAUGUUUUCUUUUCUUCAUGUCUAGUGUGUGAAUCAUUUCUGGUUUGUCUCUUCAGUGUCUCAUGUGGCCCUGCAGCUUCUCCUCCUCCACCUCCUCCUGAAGCCUUCAUCUUCUUCAUCAUCAGCUGCUCAGUGACUCUGUUGGACGUCUCACCGUGUGGCAGCAGCUCAGGAGUUUGCAGUCAACCAAGGCCGACUCAGAAUCACUCCCACCGGGAAGAUCUGUGAAGGAAGGUCCACCCGGCUGGUCCAGAAGCUCCGGUCCAGCAGAGCAGUGUCAGGAUGGAGACGUAACCGGGUGAGUUAACUAGAGAGGCGACACAUUCACAUAGAAAAUCCAACAAUUCCUUCUGUUUUUACAGUUUGUGACUCUGGUAAAUGGUGUCAUUUUUCAAAGCUGGUGGGUUUUGGGCUUCACAGAUUGAACCUAAAUGCUUUUCUUAAACAAACUGCUGAGCUGCUGCACAGUGAAAUGUUUGAGUGGAGCUCAGGAUGAAAGCAUCAGAGCUGUUUUACAUGUUUUUAUGUUCAGCUAAUAUCAUUUCCUCUGGACAAUGUUUGUGGUGUUAGAAGUGGACGUUUGUAGGGAGUUUUCAGUUGUGAUACUUUAAUGCAUAAAUAUUUGCAGUGGUGGUUUCACUGCAAGCAUCUACUGAUGUCACCAGUGAAGUAAAUAAAAACAGCAUUUGUUGAACUUUA